GAUGAACGCUGGCGGCGUGCCUAACACAUGCAAGUCGAACGGAACUUCUUCGACAGAAUUCUUCGGAAGGAAGUUGAUUAAGUUUAGUGGCGGACGGGUGAGUAACGCGUGAGUAACCUGCCUUUGAGAGGGGAAUAACUUCCCGAAAGGGAUGCUAAUACCGCAUGACGCAUAUUUAUCGCAUGGUAGAUAUGCCAAAGAUUUAUCGCUCAAAGAUGGACUCGCGUCCGAUUAGCCAGUUGGCGGGGUAACGGCCCACCAAAGCGACGAUCGGUAGCCGGACUGAGAGGUUGAACGGCCACAUUGGGACUGAGACACGGCCCAGACUCCUACGGGAGGCAGCAGUGGGGGAUAUUGCGCAAUGGGGGAAACCCUGACGCAGCAACGCCGCGUGAAGGAUGAAGGUUUUCGGAUUGUAAACUUCUUUUAUUUAGGACGAACAAUGACG
rnacentral:rRNA from 1 species